rnacentral:rRNA from 1 species
AUUGAACGCUGGCGGCAGGCUUAACACAUGCAAGUCGAGCGGGGAAAGGUAGCUUGCUACUGGACCUAGCGGCGGACGGGUGAGUAAUGCUUAGGAAUCUGCCUAUUAGUGGGGGACAACAUCUCGAAAGGGAUGCUAAUACCGCAUACGUCCUACGGGAGAAAGCAGGGGACCUUCGGGCCUUGCGCUAAUAGAUGAGCCUAAGUCGGAUUAGCUAGUUGGUGGGGUAAAGGCCUACCAAGGCGACGAUCUGUAGCGGGUCUGAGAGGAUGAUCCGCCACACUGGGACUGAGACACGGCCCAGACUCCUACGGGAGGCAGCAGUGGAGAAUAUUGGACCAUGGGGGGAACCCUGAUCCAGCCAUGCCGCGUGUGUGAAGAAGGCCUUUUGGUUGUAAAGCACUUUAAGCGAGGAGGAGGCUACCGAGAUUAAUACUCCUGGAUAGUGGACGUUACUCGCAGAAUAAGCACCGGCUAACUCUGUGCCAGCCGCCGCCGUAAGAC